rnacentral:lncRNA from 1 species
UCCUCUAUCGGCUUCUUCUCCCCGUAGCAGUUUCCCUCGCUUCCCGGGUUCCACUCUCGGCUCCUGUGGUGAUCCGUUAACAACAAAACAGAGUGAGUAAAAUUUUGAUUUGUUAAGAGAAGAUAAUGAGAGAUAAAUAUUUUGAUUGCUAUACCAUUGAUGUGUAGGAGACAUUGUAACGAAGAAGACCCGCUUUGUGUUUGGAUCGACAUUGUUGGAAACCCAAUGAGCCCACGCAUUCAUAGCCAUUUCCAUUCCCUCCGCGCCAUUCACCUCCUCGCAUGAUCCUUUUUCUUCGCUGCUCCAUCUUUAGUUCGAAUAUACGCAUGUGAGUGAAUUCACCGAUGAAGAAGAAAAUGAUGUCUAAAUACAUAUUAUUAUACACUACUUACUGGAUCUUGACAGGACCUUGCCUCCACCACAAGUAUGUGUUGAAGAUUAAGAUAUCAGCAUGUUGCCACUUUGAUGCAUGUUUGAGAACUGAAUCUGGUCGGAUGAUCCGUUCAUCCAGCCUGUGAUUGACCGGGUCAUCAGAGUUGGAUUCGACGAGC